GCAACCUCGGCUCGGAUCGCUUCGGUGUUGGGGUUUUGUUUUGGGUUCGAGUUCGGGUUCGGGUUCAAUCGCCAGCGAUACCGAUUUCUCGAAAUUACUGCACAGCUUAUGCAAUCUAAGACGCAGUUGUGAUUUGGUGUUCACUGAUUUACUCAAUUGAACCGUAUAUACAUAGAGCGCCACGUAGUACACUCCGGCCGGAAUGCACAUACGUCUUGAUUGAUAUAGAUCGCGAAUAGUGUCCGGACAAGGCCGAUGUUUUCACUGUCAUUGGCAUUGGCGGGUUAAGUGCCAUGACAAUGAAUUCGAGUGCAGCGAGAGUGAUGCAAUGCACUCAAUGCAAGAUCAGCUGUUCAACAUAUGGUUAAUGUGAAGAAAUUUUUUUUCCGUGCACUGAAGAUCGCCCAAUGAAUGGAGCCACAAUCAAGCGUUCAACUCGGGCGACCAGCGCCAAUCAACGGCCAUCGGAGGGGGGCAAGAACAAGAACCGCAUUGAGCGGGGCGUAACGUGAUUUUACUGCAAUCCGAUCUGGUUUGGCACACACAUCCCCGUCCCCAGCCUCCCCUUCUCCACCAGCACCAAUUCUUAUCGACACUGUUUGUAUAAUUUUUGAAAACAAUUUGUGUGAAAUAUGUGUGUGCAAAAUAAACAAAAAUUGAAAUAUUA